rnacentral:rRNA from 1 species
CAGCAGCCGCGGUAAUACCGGCGGCCCGAGUGGCGGUCACUAUUAUUGGGCUUAAAGCGUCCGUAGCCGGGGUGGGAAGUCCUCCGGGAAAUCUGGCCGCUUAACGGUCAGAAUGCCGGAGGAUACUCCCAGCCCAGGGAGCGGGAGAGGCCGAGGGGAUUCCCGGAGUAGGGGUGAAAUCCUAUAAUCCCGGGAGGACCACCUGUGGCGAAGGCGCUCGGCUGGAACGCGUCCGACGGUGAGGGACGAAGGCCAGGGGAGCAAACCGGAUUAGAUACCCGGGUAGUCCUGGCUGUAAACGAUGCGGACGUUGUGUCGGACAAGCUAUGAGCUUGUCCGGUGCCGGAGGGAAACCGUUAAGUCCGCCGCCUGGGGAGUACGGCCGCAAGGCUGAAACUUAAAGGAAUUGGCGGG